CUGGCUCAGAUUGAACGCUGGCGGAAUGCUUUACACAUGCAAGUCGAACGGCAGCACGGACUUCGGUCUGGUGGCGAGUGGCGAACGGGUGAGUAACAUAUCGGAACGUAUCCAAUAAUGGGGGAUAACUAAUCGAAAGGUUGGCUAAUACCGCAUACGCCCUGAGGGGGAAAGCUAGGGAUCUUCGGACCUGGCGUUAAUGGAGCGGCCGAUAUCUGAUUAGCUAGUUGGUGAGGUAAAGGCUCACCAAGGCGACGAUCAGUAGCUGGUCUGAGAGGACGACCAGCCACACUGGAACUGAGACACGGUCCAGACUCCUACGGGAGGCAGCAGUGGGGAAUUUUGGACAAUGGGCGCAAGCCUGAUCCAGCCAUUCCGCGUGAGUGAAGAAGGCCUUCGGGUUGUAAAGCUCUUUCGCAAGGGAAGAAAACUUAUCCUCUAACAUAGGAUGAGGUUGACGGUACCUUGAUAAGAAGCACCGGCUAACUACGUGCCAGCAGCCGCGGUAAUACGUAGGGUGCGAACGUUAAUCGGAAUUACUGGGCGUA
rnacentral:rRNA from 1 species